rnacentral:rRNA from 1 species
GUCCUCCGCAUUGGAACUUCGGUCGCGGUUGGAUCGGGCACUGCCACGCUGUUUUGGUUCGACCAUUGGGCUGGGGACACCCCCAUCGUGGCCCGCUUUCCUGGCCUGUUCGCCAUUGCGGUGGAGCCUAGGGUUUUGGUUGCGGUGGCCCUUACUAACUUAGGGCAACUCGCGUUUUAGCGACCGUUUGGUCCUGCGGACACCGCCGAUUGGCAUGACCUACUCGACUGCAUUGCUCUGCACGAGCCUGACCUCGCAAGGGGAGAUGACCGCGUCAAGUGGUGGCUAGAGCCAUCUGGCCAGUUCUCCAUUAAAUCACUAUAUCAGGCGAUCGCCCCCUCCCCGGGCCCCGAGGCUCUCACCACCAUUUGGGAGAUCCGACUCCCCCUAAAGAUUAGAAUAUUCAUGUGGCAAUGGAUCCGCGGCCGCCUCCCGUCCGGCGUGGAAGUCUUGAAGCGCAACGGCCCUGGUGACGGUUGUUGCCCGCUUUGCGGGCCCGAAGAAGACUCGAACCAUAUCUUCUUCUCCUGCGUGUCCGCGCAGUUCCUUUGGAGCUGUUUCCGCGAAUUAAUGGGCGGAAGUUGGGACCACAACAACUUUCCCGCUCUCUUCACCGAACUUCAGGCAUCACCACCCUCGUCUCGCCACAUUAGGUGA